UGUGGUCCGAGCUGAAGCACUGGGGUGG
rnacentral:piRNA from 1 species